GAUGAACGCUGGCGGCGUGCCUAAUACAUGCAAGUCGAGCGAACGGACGAGAAGCUUGCUUCUCUGAUGUUAGCGGCGGACGGGUGAGUAACACGUGGAUAACCUACCUAUAAGACUGGGAUAACUUCGGGAAACCGGAGCUAAUACCGGAUGAUAUUUGAACCGCCUGGUUCAAAAGGGAAAGACGGUCUUGCCGGCACUUAUAGAUGGAUCCGCGCUGCAUUAGCUAGUUGGUAAGGUAACGGCUUACCAAGGCAACGAUGCAUAGCCGACCUGAGAGGGUGAUCGGCCACACUGGAACUGAGACACGGUCCAGACUCCUACGGGAGGCAGCAGUAGGGAAUCUUCCGCAAUGGGCGAAAGCCUGACGGAGCAACGCCGCGUGAGUGAUGAAGGUCUUCGGAUCGUAAAACUCUGUUAUUAGGGAAGAACAUAUGUGUAAGUAACUGUGCACAUCUUGACGGUACCUAAUCAGAAAGCCACGGCUAACUACGUG
rnacentral:rRNA from 1 species